CGGGAAGCCAUAUGGCGACAUAGAGCGGAACCCGAAAACCUGUCUCAGUUCGGAUUGGAGUCUGCAACCCGACUCCAUGAAGCUGGAUUCGCUAGUAAUCGCGCAUCAGCCACGGCGCGGUGAAUACGUUCCCGGGCCUUGUACACACCGCCCGUCAAGCCAUGGAAGCCGGGAGUGCCUGAAGUGCGUGAGCGCAAGCAGCGCCCUAAGGUAAAACCGGUGACUGGGGCUAAGUCGUAACAAGGUAGC
rnacentral:rRNA from 1 species